GGCCCCUUAGCUCAGUGGUUAGAGCAGGCGACUCAUAAUCGCUUGGUCGUUGGUUCAAACCCAACAGGGGCCACCAGAU
rnacentral:tRNA from 1 species